UGGGGAAUAUUGCACAAUGGAGGGAACUCUGAUGCAGCGACGCCGCGUGAGUGAUGAAGGAAUUCGUUUCGUAAAACUCUGUUCUAUGGGAAGAAAAGGACUGUACCAUAGGAGAAAGCUCCGGCGAAAUACGUGCCAGCAGCCGCGGUAAUACGCAUGGAGCGAGCGUUGUCCGGAAUUAUUGGGCGUAAAGGGUGCGCAGGCGGCUUUACAAGUUGGAUGUGAAAUAUUGUGGCUCAACCACAAACGUGCAUCCAAAACUGCAAAGCUUGAGUUAAGGAGAGGUAAGUGGAAUUCCUGGUGUAGCGGUGGAAUGCGUAGAUAUCAGGAGGAAUACCGGUGGCGAAGGCGACUUACUGGACUUAAACUGACGCUCAGGCACGAAAGCGUGGGGAGCAAACAGG
rnacentral:rRNA from 1 species